GGACGGGUGAGUAACACGUGGAUAACCUACCUAUAAGACUGGGAUAACUUCGGGAAACCGGAGCUAAUACCGGAUAAUAUUUUGAACCGCAUGGUUCAAAAGUGAAAGACGGUCUUGCUGUCACUUAUAGAUGGAUCCGCGCUGCAUUAGCUAGUUGGUAAGGUAACGGCUUACCAAGGCAACGAUGCAUAGCCGACCUGAGAGGGUAAUCGGCCACACUGGAACUGAGACACGGUCCAG
rnacentral:rRNA from 1 species